rnacentral:rRNA from 1 species
UACGUAGGGGGCAAGCGUUGUCCGGAAUCAUUGGGCGUAAAGAGCGUGUAGGCGGCCCGGUAAGUCCGCUGUGAAAGUCCAGGGCUCAACCCUGGAAUGCCGGUGGAAACUGUCGGGCUAGAGUCCGGAAGAGGCGAGUGGAAUUCCUGGUGUAGCGGUGAAAUGCGCAGAUAUCAGGAGGAACACCGGAGGCGAAGGCGGCUUGCUGGACCUGGUCUGACGCUGAGGCGCGAAAGCGUGGGGAGCGAACAGG